UCUUACUAUGCCUGUUUUCUGGUUGGGACCAAGACCUUCUAGCCACCUGUUAAGGUGAUUGUGGGAGAAGAAAGGUGCAACCCACAACUCCCGUGUGCACCUUUGGGACACCGAGGCUGGACUAGAGCGGAUGCAGCGGUACAUCUGUGGUCAUAGCACCUCUGAAUGACUGAGAAGUCCUAUCGUAGUCACAGAAGCAACUCACCGGCUGUGUACAGACAUUAUAAAGUCAACACCAUGAGAUGCAAACAAAUUACUGUCAGGCAUCCAGCUUUUGUUCUCCUAAUUCAAGCACGGACAAUCCACAGACUCCUUUACCUCACCUGCUGCGUGAUUCCCAGGUGAAACAAGUGAGGUGUAGAGAGGUUGAAUGACUUGGCCAAGCCACCCGGCUAGUACGCGGUGUGGGGAGAUGCGUACUCAGCUGCUCUGCACCCUGGACAACACUACACUGACUCCCUUUACAGAGACGCUACCUGUUUAAGGCCACCCAAACUCCGUGCAGAAGGCUUGAAAUGAGCGCUCAGUAACAUCUUGGAAGAAACUGCAUUUCCGGGCAACCUCCCAUACCCUACAUUCC
rnacentral:lncRNA from 1 species